UGGCCCGGGGCACCCUCCGUCUGCUGCUCUGCUGCGCCUCUGCCCUGCUCGCUGCAGCACCUCCAUGGCUCCAUCUCCCUCCCUCAGCUCCCUGGCCACGGUGCAUCCAUCCCGCUCCAGGAUGACAUCAGCCAGCAGCAGCAGCACCAUAGAUGGCAGCUCUGCGCAGCCCCCUGCCCAGAUCAGCCC